rnacentral:lncRNA from 1 species
AGGAGAAUUCAUUAAGCUGCUGCCAACAUUCAAGGUAAGACUUAAACUUCAAUUUUUCCACCUCUCCCUGUUUCCUCCUGCAUUCAUUGAGGAAAACCAACAAUCUUUAUAUUUCAGUGUAUCUAUCCACUGAUUCAAUCAACAACAACAGCCAUCAACAACAAACAAUCAAGGUAUUUACUAUCUCAUAUGCCUUCUUUCAUAAUAUGCAUUUCACGCCCCAACACAACCGAUGAUCAGUUUUCUUAUGAGAUUCAGAUAAUACGCUUAUGAACAUAGCUAAACCAUGAGUUUCUGUAAUAGACAAUAAUCCAUAGCAUGUUACAGAUACAGAAUAGCUCAAUCAGUUUUUAUUCACAAGACAAAGGCAUAAAUAGCAGCAUCAUACUAGAAUUUUAUGCGAGAUAAUUACGUUUCAACAUUUUAGCUUCUAAACCAAGUAUUCAAGAUAGCAAUAACACUUAUGAGAUUCAUAGAGUAUUAGAUACUACAAGAAUUCGUUUAUACAACAAUUGGGGAUCGAACUUAGCUUUUGGGGGAAUAGGGGCCGACUGCCCAAGCAACUGCCGGAUGAAAGAACGCCGACUCAUCGCCUGUUCGAACGAAGAAACAGCGGCCUUGAGUUCCAGAUCUUAUGGCUCGAUUGGGUUCCACUGUUGGAGAAAAGAAGUGGGUCUUCGGAUCUGAGAAUGAGAGGGAGAAGGUAGAGGCGGCUAUCGGAACUCUGUGACUCACGGCGACGGCGGCUCCGGGAGAGGCGGCUGUCGGGCACUUGCUGCCAACAGCAGCGGCCGACGACGCUGCUCCCAGACGACGACCGACGCCGUUUGAGUCGCCGGAUUCAGACGAGGAUGUGACCGCGGCGCUGAUUCCAGAGAUAGGGAUCGACUGAGUACUGCGCGGAGAGAGAUAGAGGACGUCGCCGGGGUUCGACGCGUCGGCAGUCGACGCUGACCGGAGAAGGCGGCCGGAGAAGGAGGGCUGAUCGAGCGCCGAGCGAGCAGGCUGGAGAGGAAGGGGCGAGCAGCUCCUUGAGAGAGAGAGGAGAGUGAGACGGCAAGGUGUGCCGCCCUCUGCCAGGCACGGCCGCGCCGGCAGCGGCGGCGGCGCCCGCCUCGGCUGGAGACGGAUCGGGAGAGAGAGAACCGAAGCGUGCGUCUGUUUUGAGCGAGAGAGAGAGAAAGAGAACAUGGCCGACAAUUUUGAGAGAAGAAAGAGAGAGAGAGCGGCUCCUUGAAGAGAGAGGACCGAUAGUUUGAGAGAGAGAGAGAGUUGGGCUUGAUGCUAUUUUAAUUAAGUUUGGGCUUUUCUAUUUGGGCCUCACCUUUUAAUUGUUGUGGGCCAAAGACUUUUAAGUUCGGGCUUGAUUUUAAUUGCUUGGGCUUUCACAGUUAAAUUCGAAUUGGGCCAGUCUUUUAUUUAAUUGGCCCUUCUCAUUAAUUCUAUUGGGCUCGAUUUAAUUAAGGAGUUGGGCUGAUGCAUAUUUUAUGAUGGGCUAUUAUUCUAGUCCCAUUUAUAUUUCGUUGGGCCAGUUUAAUUCAUCAUUUUGGCCGAUUAAAUUGCCUUUUUGGGCUAAGAUUAAUUCUGUUCAGUCCACAUUAAUUAUUAUUUGGACCCCUAUUUUAAUUGUUUUGGGUCGAAGACUUUUUAAGUUGGGCUUUAAUUCUUUUAAAGCUUGAGCUGAAGUUACUCCUUUGAGCUAAGCCUAGCAGUAUCAAUUUUUGAUGGAGCCCAAUUAUUUAUCAGUAAUGAGCCGCCCAGUUUAUUAAUUAAUGUUUUUGGACUUCCGACUUUAAAGCAAGCCAUUAUUGUUUAUUUCAUUAAAGCCACUGGUUUAUUUAAUUAAUUGGCUACUCUCUUUUGAGCCUAUUAAUUAUUUGAGGUUACGCUAGUAAUGAUGCUUCUAUCGAAAAGCCCGAUAAUUUCUACAAGGUCACACCUCGUUUAAAGCCGAGUUAGUCCUUUUUCAAUCAAGUACAAAUGCGAGGUUUAUUUCACGACUAGAAUAUUCCGAUGAGGAAGGAAGAAUCACAGUUUUAUUCGACCGCGUUAGACGAGAAUUAGCUAAAUCUAUUAACGAGGAUUAAUAGUAGAAUUCCCGAUUAUCGCUCAGAAUAUUAGUUCAUGCAUACCAGAUUCAUGCAUAGUUAAAUUACGCUUUCUCAUUAAUUAAGAAUUUUCCUCGAGGCAAUGUCUUAUUUUAUAUUCUCGUGAUUAAGGUCAAGCGCGAGAGUAAGAACUACACAAGGAGUUAGAGUACCUUAGCAAAACUUUGCUAUCAGGUGGGCAAUUUCUUACGCGUAAAUAAAAUGCUAUGCAUGUGUUAUGCUUUAAAAUGCAAAUUGGAUCUUCAAGUAUGGUAUGCUUUAUUAUGCUUUACGCUAAAUGAUUUACGCUUGAUUACGCUUAUUUACGCUUGAAUGCUUUACGCUGAUAAGUUUAUGCCUGUGAUUGAUGCUUGCGUCUGUUGGGGGAGGCCUCCCUCAACAGUACGAUGCCGUGUCCGCUGAGGAGGUCCUUCCUCACGGCGCGAUGCUUGCGUCUGUUGGGGAGGCCUCCCUCAACAGUACGAUGCCGUGUCCGUUGAGGAGGGCCUUCCUCACGGCGCGAUGCCCGUGUCCGCUGAGAGAGGCCUCUCUCGCGGCGCGAUGCCAGUAUGCCAGUAUGCCAGUGUUACAGCGUCUAUUGGGGGAGGCCUCCCUCAAUAGUACGAUGCCGUGACCGCUGAGGGAGGCCCCCUUCACGGUGCGAUGCCCGUGUUCGUUGGGGAAGGCCUUCUCCACGACACGAUGCGUGUUGAUGAUUGUUAAUGAUGAAGAAUGCGCUCAUGCUGUUUAUGAAUAUGGAAAUGUUUAAUGAGCAAAGGAUUUGAAAGAAACUUAUGCCUCUUAUGCGAAGUUGUGUUUUGUUGUUGAUAUUAUGUUAUAUGCUUGGCACUGCCCACUGAGUACUCUUGUACUCAGCCCUUCGUAUGUUUAUGUUUGUGCAGGUUGAGUUGUGAUGGGCGAUGAAGUGUUGUUGCUGAGUGGAGUUUUUGUCGAACUUAAAGUAGGCUCAGAAAGGAUACAUGUCUUCAUACAUGUAUCUCAGUUAUGCAUUCCGCUGUAAACACUGAUUAUUUCAGUUACGCCUUCCGUUGCAAACUCUGAUAAUGUUUUAGCCAAGCCCCUAACGAUGCCUUUUUCCUUUUAAGGAAUAUAACGCGUAUACAAGUUCUUUGAGUACCCUUUUUAUGCGAACUAUGCCUUUUUCCUUUUUAAGGAAUAUUUCACGCGUAUUCAAGCUCUUUGAGUAUUCUUUUAUGCACCCCUUUCUAAACCCGCUUCUUAAUUUCCCUUCCCCAGUCAUGGUUUUCCCGGAUUAAUUAUCCUUAAUUAAGGCCGGUCGUGACAGAGUGGUAUCAGAGCAGUUCGUUUGCUCUGAGCCUAAGAGUUUAUUUAAGCCAAACUUAGAAUGGAUCACUAAAGUGUCUAGAGUUCAAUCGACAAAGCUCAGCACUUCAUCGCAUCACACUCAACGAAGCAGAAUGGUAAGCUAUUCCAAGUUUUGAGUUAAUGUUUACAAAAAGUGAGAAUUAUCGUAACAAAGUGUGUAGCUGUCAAUAGCUAUGUUAUGUUGUUCGAAUGAAAUGAUUUACGCAAGUGCGAUUAAGUAUGCCUAUGGAAUGAAUCCCUAUGAACAUAGAGCUAUUAAGAUAUGAGAUCACCACUACGACAGAACAUAGAAGCAAACAUAGAAGAAAUUAGAUUGUAUCUUUUGGUGGCUAUAGUGAAGGCAGCAAGAUAAGUGAUACGUAUAGAAUAAUUUUUAAGCUCAUGAUUUUAUAGCCGCUAUAAAUCUCCAUGACUUAUGCUUAAGUAUCCAAUUUAGAUGAUGAGAUAUUAUAUGCUUAAGAAUUGAUAUGACUCAUGGAUUUGAGAUGCUAAGGACCCUUAAAGCUUACUACAUCAAUGUUGUCAUUGGAGUUAUGACUUGUUUACAAGUUAGAAUAAGUUGACCUUUACAAGAAUUCUUUUGAGGCUUGUAUUAGAUUAUGCUAGAGUGUACUAAUUGACACAUCCCUGCUAUCAGAAUGCCGCCUAAGAGAGGACGCCCUGCGAGAAACAAUAACAAUCGCAGAAACCGUAACGCUGUACCCGAAGAACCACAAGAUGCUCGAGGACAUAACCCAUCCCCUCCGCCCCCGACUAGGAGAGUCGAAGAACUCUUUUUAAGGCAAAACCCACCUACGUUUGACGGAACGAGUGAACCGGCUGAAGCUGAGAUUUGGGUGCGUGCAAUGGAACGCAUUUUCAACUUUCUACGUUGUACUGAUGAGGAGCGCCUAUCUUGCGUCUCAUUCCAGCUAACAGGAUCAGCUGACUUCUGGUGGGAAGCACGUCGAAAAAUUCUGACACCUGAACAAUGGGCAAGUUAUACUUGGGAAGAUUUUAAGACAGGAUUAUAUGAUAAAUAUAUUCCGAAAAGCUAUAGGAAGAAGAAAGAAGCUGAGUUCUACGAGUUGAAGCAAGGAAAGAAAUCUGUGGUUGAAUACGACAAGGAAUUCUGCAACCUGUCUAGGUUUGCUCCACAACAAGUGGACACAGAUGAGAAGAUGGCAGAGAAAUUUUGUGCCGGUCUGCGACACGAAAUUAGGAUGACUCUAGCAAGCCACGGAGGACUCUCAUACACGGAGUCUCUGAACAGGGCACUUGACGUUGAAGCUGCAAUGCCGUCAGACAAGUCAGCCCCACCAUUGAUCUCAACGUCAAACGAUCCACCAACAGCUUCGCAUACCCUCAAAGGGAAGCGCAAGUGGGACAACAAUGAAGACAAUAUCAAUCCGAUUAAUAAGCGAGUAUGGCAAGAAUAUGAACGGGCCGAACAGUUUAUUCAACCAAGGCACGAGGCACAGACUAAACUCGAGUCAACUGGGGGUAGCCAAAGUCAGAGAGGAAUUUCACCUUGCCCAAAUUGCGGUAAGAUGCAUAGGAGUGUCUGUCGGGCUGGAACUAACGGUUGUUACAAUUGUGGCCGAAAAGGUUUAAACCGUUAUCUUUGUAAGACAUAGAUAACGGUUUUUUGUACCUUUUAUAACGAUUUUAACCAUUAUCUUAAAUAUUUAAUAUUUUUUUCUCAAUUUUUAUGUUAUUUAUAUCAAGAAAUAAAUAAAUAACUUUAAAACAACAAAAAUGAUAAAAUACAACAAUAAUAAUAUUAUAUAUUAUCCAAAAUAUUCGUACAUUAUCAAUCCGAAUGAACUAAGUAUCAAGUAUCUAAGAUCAUUACAUAUUUCGAUUCACUUCCUGGCUUAUCUACUCCGACAAAGUCCUCAUCGACCUCUCAAAGGCUUCCUUCGCGCUCAUCUCCAUCUUGAUCUUCCUAAUACCUUGAAAGUAACAUCACUUGAUAAGCUAAGUAUAAACUAUAUGUAACUUACUACAUAAAUCAAUACAUCAUGCAUUAUGUAACUUACUACAUCAAUUAGUCAAUCACAAAGAGAGAAGACUAUAUUUCCCACAGAAGUAUAUUUACAACUUCAUUUUUCUUAACCAGUGAAGCCUCAUGCAAGUUAGCCACUUAUAAUCAUAAGGAUCCUAAGGGUUCCUCCGCAGAACAUUAUAACUCAAAGUAUUACAAAAAAAAGAAAAGAAACAAGAUCAUAAUCUAUCAAAUUGAAUCAACUUUGCUAAAACAUUCAUCAACACCAAUACCAAAAAAAUUAUAUUUCCUUCAACAUCCUAAAACUGUAUCAUAUAAACAGAGCAGAAAACAAUACAUGAUAGCCUACUCCAAGUUCUAUUCUUGCUCAUACAACUCAGCUAUUUCCUGCAUAUUAAGAUAUCUCAAAUUACCAUCUUUCAAUUACUUCUAAGUACUGUAAUAAUACUCAAGAAUCAAGAUUAUGCCUAAACGGUGACUAAUAACAUACCAAUGUCCUUAUACAGAGAACUAUUUUUGUUACGUAAGGCUGAAAAAUUCAGCAUAUGGAACAGAACCAACUCGGUGGCUAACGUGAAAUUCAAAAGAAAGAAUUGGAAAAUCAGAUAUCUGCAAACAUUUAAUCUUUUACCUUAUAAUACCUUGCAGACAUAUUAAACCUUCCAAUAUCCAGAAAGAUAUUUACAGAUUCCUCCAGGCAUGAAAUUGACUCUGCAAACCAUGAAACUAACGUUAGAGCAAUUCAAACUGGAAAAUGAAACAAGACGAGAAUAUAUGAUCCAAAUAACUAUUUAUCAUGAGUAUCAGGAAAUAUCAACCACAAAAUCAUAUAUGAUUAAACAUAGAGAAUUACACAGCCAAACAAAAAGUAACCACACCUUGUAUAUUGCACUUUUUGUAGCAAUGAGCUGCAUCAGCAUACGCAUUAGCAGCUUCAUGCUUGCUAUCUAACUGCAAAAAAGGGUAUGGAAAAAUCAUAUCACUAUUAAUAACAAUAAAAAAUGUGAUGGACUUGGAAAAUAAUAUGAUAUUGUGCUAAGAAAUUAUCAUCUUGAUUUCUAGCACACACCACACUCACAUACAUAAUUCUAGUUUGACCCAGUUUGUGAAAAAGUUCAUAGCACAUUCAUCCUGAAUAAAGUAAAGCAAAUGAGAACAUAGGAUAAAGAGACAAAUAGUACAAGUACAAAGAUCUUAGGAAAACAAGGAGAAUGAUAUCAAAUAGAAAAUGCUACACGUACAGCCACAGGGACACUAUUCAAAUCUCAAACUUGACAACAAAUACAAAAACACCAUAUACUUCAAACAAUAAAUAUAUCAUUCCUGCUCACGGAAUCAACGACAUUGUAACUAUGAGUAUAUACCAAAAAUGUCCAAUAGAAUGUCAUCUAAACUAACCCACAAAUGUAAAGGAUAACUUAACAAAAAUAGAAUGUCAAAUGCUAAAGUAUCUUAACAUUCAAACUAAUUGUCACAGAGGAUACAUGUUAUUCACUAAAUAUUAGACCAUUAUUAGAGAUAUCUAGCUAUCAUUAACGAAAAAUCAAAAUGAGUUUGCAGAAUAUAGGAUACAGGUGCUAAAGUCCGUCUUCGCAUAGCAAGACACCAAGUUGCCUUAGUUUUCUGUUGUGAAUGGAUUUAUAUAUGUAUACCUACAUUAGGUUAAGUUGCUGGCUCAAAAAGACACAAGAGAAUAGCAUCUUGUUCCUCUCCAAAUACCAAAAUGCUCUUUUUUUAUAAGAAACAAGGCCAAGUGCUACAAACACACAGACACUGAUCAACUCAUUAAUUUACAAGACCACCAACAUCUUAAUUUCAUUAAAUUCACCAACAUACAGAAUAUUGGGUGUGCUUAGUCCUAGUGAUAUCCAACCUGCAAAUAUCCACAGUAUUGAAUAUGAAAAAUAUUAAUAUUCUUAUCCGGGAAGAAUCCAAUGUAUAUUUAAGGAGGUUCACAAAAAGUAUAACUCAAGUUAGCUACCUAUGGGUAUAGCAUCUAUUUUCCAACUAUAUAACUCAAGCAAAAAAGUAUAAUAAAGAUACCUCCUGCUCAUUGUUGAAAGGACCCUGACACAAAAAGAUCUUGUUUUCAUUUUGUAAGGAAGCAAGCAUCUGAAAUUUUUGAAUACAAAUUAGAGCAGUUAGUGUUCAAUUAUAUCAUGUUUGUAAAAGAUAAGUCAUUCAACUUGGUCUACCAUACCUUAAUGAUGUGAUUUGAUUAGUGAUUAGAUACAUUAAAAACACACGACAAAUCAAAAUAGUAUGAAAGACUACAAAAACCAUUAAAAAGACAUCAAAAAUUAAGAAUGACAAAAACAAACACAUAGAAUUGAAUAUACAGAUAAUUGGUAACUUUACUAACCUUCACUGAACUACCAACCUCCUCUAAUUUUUGCAAAAUUGCCACCUAAUGAUGCUGACAUUAUGACAUUGGGCAAACUCAUGCUACUGAUCUAGUCUGGUAUAGAUUAGUAAUAAAUCAACAGAAUCAACUAGCUACAGAUUCACAAUGCCGAGCUUGCUGUUACUGUUACUGAUUAAGAAUCCUACCUUUAGUUUUUAGAGGAUUCUCAAACAUGUAUCGUACUCUAUUGGUAUAUAAUGCACAAAGCCUAUCAAGAAUGUAUAGAAGAAAUAAUAGAAAAUAUAGAAAUAAUGCUAAUCCAUCUGCGUGUUAAAUUAUUUUGAAAACGAAAUUAGCCAUGAAACAAGCAAAGGUUGGAAAUUGACUACUUGAACCAUGAAACCUAAGUUCAGCUCAACAACGAGUUAUCAAGACAGCAGAAUCUCAAUCUAGCUAGAAACCUAAGUUCAGCUCAACAAAUUAAUAUUAUUGAGAUACUCUGAAUUUUGAGAUCAAUUCAAGGAAAUAACAAGUGAAUUACCUUCUCUUUCAACAUGAUAUCAUUUUCUUCCUCCAGUCUCACCGCCAUUGACUCCAAUUCCGCUUCAUAUGCCUUUAAAAACCAUCAAAAUCAGCCCAGAAUCAACCAAAAUAUUAGGGCAACACACACACACACAAACACAAAGCCAAAAAGACAGCCAAAAGAGUCGAGAGACAGCUAGGACUCAGUUUAUAUUCUCCUCAUGUGUGAGGGAGAUCUGUUCAUGAGGGUGAGUGAGAGAGGUAACGAAAGAGCGGAGGUGACAACCACUCGCCCGAAUCUCGAAGACCAUGGCAGUGAACGACGUUCAUCGACAUUCCUCAGUCGGCGGCGCCAGAUUCAGAGAGAAGAAGAGGAAGAGAAUGGAUGAAGCCCGACCAUUCGCUGGUCCUCCAGUUGUAGCGGCGGCGGUAUUUCUUUCUAUGAAAACUAGGGCUCAAAAUUGGAAGGGAAAGGGGAGGAGAAAGCCUUCGGCAUGGCGGCAUCGACAACGCCGAAGAGAAGGGCGCUGCGUUGCCGGAUUUCGGCUCAGGCGGCGGCGAUUCCUGAUUUGGGGAGGAAAUUAGGGCUCCCCUUUAGUCUUCAUCCGUGAUUUUUGAGAGAGAAAAAUGGAUGAUGGGAGGUAGUAGUCGAGGAGCGGCGCCCUCGGCCGGAUACGGCCUCGCCGGAGCCGGUGGGAAGACGGACAGAGAGAGGAUUGCGGCGGUGAGCGUGAUGGAGAAGAUAGAGAGAGCCAGGUCCGAUUUGGGGGAAAAUUUGAUGGGAGUUAGGGUUUUGAUUUUUUAUAAUAUUAUUAAAUAUUAAAAAUAAUAGAUAACGGUCUUAAGACGCUCAUAUAUAACGGUUAAAAUAACCGUUAUAAAAAGAUGUUCAUAGAUAACGGUCGGCAUAACGGUUUUGUAGUACCGUUAUGUAUGCAACUAAUAGAUAACGCAUAAACAUAACGCAUUUGUUCAAACCGUUAUCUAUGCAUUUAGACAACACUACAUAGAUAACGGAUUUUUGAAAAACCGUUAUCUAUUCCUAAAAGUGCGCUCAUACAUAACGGUUUUUGAAAAAAACCGUUAUCUAUGUACUGUUAUGUAUGUAAACUUUUGUAGUAGUGAAAGAAGCUGAGUUCUACAGACUUAAAUAAGUAAAGAAAACCCUAAAUGAAACAGACAAAACUCUACGAACCUGUUUAAGGUUUGCUCCGCAACAAGUGGACACAGAUGAGAAGAUGGCAGAGAAAUUUUGUACCGGUCUGCGACACGAAAUUAGGAUGGCCCUAGCAAGCCACGGAGGACUCUCAUACACGGAGUCUCUGAACAGGGCACUUGACAUUGAAGCUGCAAUGCCGUCAGACAAGUCAGCCCCACUGUUGAUCUCAACGCCAAACGAUCCACCAGCAGCCUCGCAUACCCUCAAAGGGAAGCGCAAGUGGGACAACAACGAAGACAAUAUCAAUCAGACUAGUAAGAAAAUGUGGCAAGAAAAGGAACGGGCCGAACAGUUUAAUCAACCAAGGUACGAGGCACAGACUAACCUCAAGUCAACUGGGGGUAACCAAGGUCAGAAAGGAGUUUUACCUUGCCCAAAUUGUGGUAAGAUGCAUAGGAGUGUCUGUCGGACUGGAACUAACGGUUGUUACAAUUGUGGACAAAAGGGUCACUACUCCACGCAAUGCCCCAACAGAUAACGAGGUUCAGCAAUUGAGAACACCCGCACCCCUUGCCAGCAAUACGUAGACACUUGCGAAAUCAGCCUCAAUCACAUCAGUGAAAAUCUUAUGGAGACACCGCAGACAAGAGAAGCUACGUGGGAACUUGAAGACAAGAUGAAGGAAAAAUACCCCGAACUGUUUUAGCAGAGAUAUGCAAAUUUCGGGACGAAAUUUUUGUUAAGAGGGGUAGUAUGUAGUAGCCCGCUCUUUUAAUUAUGAUUAAAAUUAGUAAAUGCAAUUUUUAUAAAUGAAUCCAGUUUAUGGUCCUGAUUUUUUUUAUCAGAAACGGAGUUAUUAUUUUAGCUUUAUACUUUUAUAACGUAUGAGAAAAACGCGACGAGGAUUAUUGAGCCAUUCAAUAAUUAUUAUUUCCAAGUUAUAACUGACUUAGCAAAGUCAUGUUAUUUAUUAAUCGAAAAACACAAGCAGUUAUAUUUUAUUAGUGCUACUAGAAGUCGAGGAAUUAUUCCGACUGCAACGCAGAUUAAAUCUACGGAUUUAAUUUAAGUCAUAUUAUAGUUUUUCAAUAUUGGAAACAAGGAAGCAGAUACUAAACAGAUACAGAAAUGCGAUGAUUGAAAAUCGAAGCCAGUAUUUAUUUACAGUUCACAGAUUACAGGCUAGUUCCCAGCUUGGGGAAAAUCGUCUAAUAUAUCACAAAAGCUGUAGACUCUACAUGGCCUACUUAUUGCCACUAACUCUUGUGCAUAAAAAUCAUUAAAGCUAGUGGAAUGGAAUCCACUACCCUUUUGCUCCCCACCAACUCCACUACCCUUUGCUCCACCAACUCCACUCCACCAAACUUCCCACUUACUCCCUUCCCCACCACACGCAAGAAUGCAUCCAACAUCCCCUUAUACCUGCAGCAAUCUCUUCAUCAUCUUCAUUCUUCACUAAGGAACCGAAGAGUAGGAAGAAAUUCUACAUUCACUGUUCUGCCAUCAAACCUCAAGAGGUAAGCUUCGGUCCAUAUCCUCCAAUAUCUUCCAUACUCAUUCUUGCAAUCACUAAAGAGGCAAAAUACGUUAUUUUGUUCCAGUUAUCAAUUCCUUAAUUCAAUAGCAACAAACAGCCACCAACACCAAGCAUAGCAGGUAUAUACUUAGCUCAGCUCCAGUUCAUACAUCAUAUCAUCAAGCAUAUGUUUAAAAAGGAAAUACAUAGUAUACAGGUGUGUAUAUAUAUGCAUAGAUGGAUUAAGCAAUCACGAAAUCAAUUUUUACCUAUGUUUCUUUCACAAGGCACUAAGAAACUCUUGAUACAGAAACAAGCCACUAUAGCUAGUAGAACCCUUGCAUAAUCGACAUAGAACAAAAGCUUCAGGAAAUGGGUGUAUAUUACACUUUGAUAGCUAUAGUUCUUCAAGAGAUUCACGAACGAGGAUUUAUAAUAGCAUAGAAGUUAAACUUAGCUUUGGAGAAUAAGGGCCGACUGCCCAAGCAACUGCCAAACCCCGACGCCGGACGGAGCUGGCGGAAGCUGAACGACGCCGGGAAAGAAAAGGGCCGACUGCCUCGUCCGGUGGGGACUGAGUGACGAUAACGGUGACAGGGGCGAACUCUCUCAGCCUCACCGAGACUUGAAGGCGACAGCUACGGCGUUAUCGAUUUAGGGGGAGAAGAAGAAGACCGGUACCAGGACCGGAGCAGCAGCAACUCCAGUCGGCGGCGACUCCAGGCGAAGCAGCAGCCACUCCCAGACGACGACCGGCGCCGUUUGAGUCGCCGGAUUCAGACGAGGAUGUGACCGCGGCGCUGAUUCUAGAGAUAGGGCUCGACUGAGUUCUGCGCGGAGAGAGAUAGAGGACGUCGCCGGGGUUCGACGCGUCGGCAGUCGACGCUGACCGGAGAAGGCGGCCGGAGAAGGAGGGCUGAUCGAGCGCCGAACGAACAGAUCUUGAGAGAGGGGCUGGGCGGCGUCUGGUUCGAGUUUUAGAGAGAGGAGAAGAGCGCGGGCUCAGGUGCAGCGCCGACUAGAAUGGCCGGAAUUGGAGGCGACGUACUCCUCGGCUGGGGGCUGAUCGGGCAAGAGAGAGGGAGAGAAAUUGGCUUUGUGAAGGCGAGCGGCUCCUUGAAGAGAGAGAGGACCGAGGGUUGGGAGAGAAAGAUUGUUGGGCUCUUCUUUUAUUUAUUUUGGACUUCACAAUUUUAAUGACUUGGGCCUCACUAUUAAAUUCAAUUGGGCUUUAGUCAUUAUAUUUAAGUUGGGCCUAAUUUAUUUUAUUCUACAAUUGGGCCUUCGAUUUUUAAUUCUUUUGGAGCUUGAUUAAUUUAAAGAGUUGGGCUGAUGCAUAUUUUAUGAUGGGCUAUUAUUCUAGUCCCAUUUAUAUUUCGUUGGGCCAGUUUAAUUCAUCAUUUUGGCCGAUUAAAUUGCCUUUUUGGGCUAAGAUUAAUUCUUUUCAGUCCACAUUAAUUAUUAUUUGGACCCCUAUUUUAAUUGUUUUGGGUCGAAGACUUUUUAAGUUGGGCUUGAAUUCUUUUAAAGCUUGAGCUGAAGUUACUCCUUUGAGCUAAGCCUAGCAGUAUCAAUUUUUGAUGGAGCCCAAUUAUUUAUUAGUAAUGAGCCGCCCAGUUUAUUAAUUAAUGUUUUUGGACUUCAGACUUUAAAACGAGCUAUUAUCAUUUAUUUCUUUAAAGACACUGGUUUAUUUAAUUAAUUGACUACUCUCUUUUGAGCCUAUUAAUUAUUUGAGGUUACGCUAGUAAUGAUGUUUCUAUCGAAAAGCCCGAUAAUUUCUACAAGGUCACACCUCGUUUAAAGCCGAGUUAGUCAUUUUUCAAUCAAGUACAAAUGCGAGGUUUAUUUCACGACUAGAAUAUUCCGAUGAGGAAGGAAGAAUCACAGUUUUAUUCGACCGCGCUAGACGAGAAUUAGCUAAAUCUAUUAAUGAGGAUUAAUAGUAGAAUUCCCAAUUAUCGCUCAGAAGAUUAGUUCAUGCAUACCAGAUUCAUGCAUAGUUAAUUACGCUUUCUCAUUAAUUGAGAAUUUUCCUCGAGGCAAUGUCUUAUUUUACAUUCUCAUGAUUAAGGUCAAGCGCGAGAGUAAGAACUAUUCAAGAAGUCACAGUACCUUAGCAAACCUUUGCUAUCAGGUGGGCAAUUUCUUACGCGUAAAUAAAAUGCUAUGCAAGUGUUAUGCUUUAAAAUGUAAAUUGGAUCUUCAAGUGUGGUAUGCUUUAUUACGCUUAUUUACGCUUGAAUGAUUUACGCUUGAUUACGCUUAUUUACGCUUGAAUGCUUAGCUGAUAGUUAUGCCUGUGAUUGAUGCUUGCGUCUGUCGGGGGAGGCCUCCCUCAACAGUACGAUGCCGUGCCGCUGAGGAGGGCCUUCCUCACGGCGCGAUGCCCGUGUCCGCUGAGGGAGGCCUCCCUAGCGGCGCGAUGCCAGUAUGCCAGUCCAGUGUACAGCGUCUAUUGGGGGAGGCCUCCCUCAAUAGUACGAUGCCGUGACCGCUGAGGGAGGCCCCCUUCACGGCGCGAUGCCCGUGUUCGUUGGGGAAGGCCUUCUCCACGACACGAUGCGUGUUGAUGAUUGUUAAUGAUGAAGAAUGCGCUCAUGCUGUUUAUGAAUAUGGAAAUGUUUAAUGAGCAAAGGAUUUGAAAGAAACUUAUGCCUCUUAUGCGAAGUUGUGUUUUUGUUGUUGAUAUUAUGUUAUAUGCUUGGCACUGCCCACUGAGUACUCUUGUACUCAGCCCUUCGAUGUUUAUGUUUGUGCAGGUUGAGCUGUGAUGGGCGAUGAAGUGUUGUUGCUGAGUAGAGUUUUUGUCGAACUUAAAGUAGGCUCAGAAAGGAUACAUGUCUUCAUACAUGUAU